GCGGUGUGAGGCCAGGGCAGUUAAGAAGGAGUGCCUGAGGCUCCCCUGGAAGCGGCCCACGGUGGGCGAGGUAGACCGUCACGGCCCUCUCCUGGGAACCUGCACCGAGAGCAGGUGGAAUGGGGGUUCAUACCAGUCUCACCUCAAUCCCGAAGGUCUGCGAGCUGGGGGACAGGAUCCACCCCACUUUGGUCAGAUACGGAACCUGAGGCCCAGAGAGGAGAAGAGACCUGCCCAAGGAUACACAGCGGACUAGAGGCAGAGGAAUGGCUGUUCAGCAGAGGUCACGCACUCAGGACAGGAAGAGGAGCCCCCUUCACAGGUACAGGAGGGACCAGGACUGCUCGCUGCAGAGGCCAGCCACCCACAGGGCGGGGGGCGUCUGUCCGUACGCUGGAGAAGGACUGGAUGGCAGGGUUGAGCCAGCCUGGAUGCACAAGUGAACACAUGCACUA
rnacentral:lncRNA from 1 species